UAAGAGAACUUCAUUCUCUCAAC
rnacentral:piRNA from 1 species